AAUUAAUCACGAUCUUGGAGGAAAAAAAUUCCCGUCUCGUCGGGAGCAGUGCGAAGUUGUCGCAUGGCCACUCAGCGUCAGCCCUGCGGUCGCGCCGAGAAAUCGGCGAACUUCACACUAGACGCGUUCCGUCAACGGCUUUCGCGCCAUUGUGCGUUUAGGACGUUCGUUUUCGCCGUGCGGCCACGGGCCGUGUAAAUCUCGUUGAUCUUUCGUUCCUCCCAUGAGGUACCUGGCGGAGAUGACGGGGGCCGACACGGUGACGCGGUUUCAGCGUGGCGUUCAGCGAAGCCGGCAACGGCGAUCGAAGUUCGCGUAACUUGCCGUACCCGGACGGGCUCGCGCCAUUAACGGCUCUAUUAGUUUUCGCGAUCGUGUGUGAACAUGUUCCCGCGCGCGCGUGUGUGUGUGGUGUGUGGAGGACGAUUACUGGUGUGAAAGCUCGAAGGCUGCUUCGUAAUGCUGGUCUAGUGAAGCCGGACCAGGUGGUUGCGGAUGUCUCGUCGUGCGGUGAGUCGUAAAUUCACGAGAAUAUAUUUAUUGUUCAAUGACUAAACGUCAAUACAGGAAUACCUGCUUAUUUUUUUGCCGAUGAUUAUUUCGCGAUAACGCGUUUUGCUGAUAGCCGACGCUAUUUUUCUUCCACGCACAACGGCCUGUUUUCGCGUUGCGUUAAGUCUGAAUCAUUCUCUUUAAUUGAUCGCAUUUUCCGCGACGCGACGUAUCAGUUAAUUCUACCCGAGUCUCGCGGUCGUUGGCUGCGUAAUUAUUCUGCACAAUCGCAAUAAACAGCGAUUGUAGAGCGAUGAAACCGCGAUAGUUCAGUGGCAUCCAACUAAACGCACAGUUCACGGAUAACAUUUUCACGCAUAACAAGCGCGAGGGGAACGCGAGGUGGAAGAAAAAAACGCUUAAUGAGGUUAUUCACCAGCGA